rnacentral:rRNA from 1 species
UCUUGGUCAUUUAGAGGAAGUAAAAGUCGUAACAAGGUCUCCGUUGGUGAACCAGCGGAGGGAUCAUUACCGAGUUUACAACUCCCAAACCCAAUGUGAACGUUACCAAACUGUUGCCUCGGCGGGAUCUCUGCCCCGGGUGCGUCGCAGCCCCGGACCAAGGCGCCCGCCGGAGGACCAACCAAAACUCUUAUUGUAUACCCCCUCGCGGGUUUUUUUUAUAAUCUGAGCCUUCUCGGCGCCUCUCGUAGGCGUUUCGAAAAUGAAUCAAAACUUUCAACAACGGAUCUCUUGGUUCUGGCAUCGAUGAAGAACGCAGCGAAAUGCGAUAAGUAAUGUGAAUUGCAGAAUUCAGUGAAUCAUCGAAUCUUUGAACGCACAUUGCGCCCGCCAGUAUUCUGGCGGGCAUGCCUGUCCGAGCGUCAUUUCAACCCUCGAACCCCUCCGGGGGGUCGGCGUUGGGGAUCGGCCCUGCCUUGGCGGUGGCCGUCUCCGAAAUACAGUGGCGGUCUCGCCGCAGCCUCUCCUGCGCAGUAGUUUGCACACUCGCAUCGGGAGCGCGGCGCGUCCACAGCCGUUAAACACCCAACUUC